AUUUAGGUGGGACCUAAAUUCAAUGACAAAUGUCCUUAUAAGAGACAGGAGAUGAGAGGGUUACCAGGGAAAAGGCCACAGGAAGACAGAGCAAAGAUUUAAGUGACGCAGUUACAACCCCAGGAACACCCGGAGCCACCAGAAGCUGAACCAAACAUGGAAGGAUCCUACUGACAACUAGAUUUUGGACGUCUGGCCUCCAGAACUAUUAUAUAACAGAAAAAAAUUCUGUUGUUUUAAGCCACUAAAUUUGUGGUGAUUUAUUAUGGCAGCCACAGGAAACUAGGACAGGAGAACCUAAAAUGAGAUGGUUCUGAAGGCAAGGGAGGCCCCAGGAGCAAGGGAGCAGGUGCAGGCAGGACAGCGAGGACCUUGCCCCUUUUCUUUACUGCUCAUCCCCUGUCUGACCACAGAUGACCAUCUGUGAGUCACGAGUUGUUAACAAGAGAGCUGCUUAUUUGCUCCCAGGGGCAUCCAUAGAUGGCCACAGUCUGCGGAAGGGAAGCCGAGUUCAGAAGCUUGUUCUUAAGUAGUUGGAAGCCCUCCCUAGGGGAGUAGAUGUUCAGAAGAAGAUAUGCAGACUCAGGUCACAUGAAAUGAAUAAGCCAUUUCUUUCACAUAGGAAAACAGAAAUCAGGUUUGAUUUGGUAUAUUCAGGAAAAACUCUAGUUCUUUCAAGGCAGCAACUGACACAACUUUUGGAAAAACAAGAGCUGAUUUCUGAGCAAUCUAGGCCAGCCCUGGCAAGGCUGACCUAUGAGAACUCCAACUGAGCACUGUGAGCUGAGAGCCUUCUGCAGCCCAUGGGCGCCAGGCAGCUGCUUUUCCUACAUUGCUUCUCCCACCCACCCUGAGAGGUGGCUUGCCAUUAGACUUGCAGUGCCUAAUUAAGGCCUUCAGGAGCAGAGAUGGAAUGUACUAGACUGUGAGUUCAGGUUUUUCUGACUCUAGAGCCUGUGCUGGAGAGAACUGUAACCUAACAGGCUAUAUAGUCCAGAGGGGGACACGUGGACUCUGACAUCACAACUUUCUGUGAACCAUGCCCUCUACAGACGUGCUCUGCUAUGAAUGAAGCCUUUCUUCUCUACCCAUGAAUUCUACAGCAUUGUGAACAUACCUCUAUUAUAACAUGACUGAAUAAUGUCUCAUUUUUUACGUGAACUGAUUUUUUUAUAAGAUUAUGAACUUCUUGAAUGGAAGAACCAUGUCUCAUUGUUCCCUAUACCUUCACUGCCUAGCCCAGUGCCUGAGAGACAGCGACUUUCCACCAAGAACACCAUUGUGUAGAGGCACCUACUGUGCCAGGCACUGUUGGAGGCACUGGGGAUGAAUCAGCAAGCAAGACAGAAGGUCCCUGCACUCACAUAACUUACUGCUCAGGAAUCGCCACUGGACUCAGCCUGCACAGCACAGCAAGACCCUGGCUCUUAAGAAAAAAAAAGAAUGAUGGGGAUGCAUCCCAGGACAAACAGCAGUUUUGGAGGUGGGCCCUGGGCAUGGGUUUUUGUGCACAGCUCCCUCAGCAAUGCUGAUGGGGAUCCAGGGCUGAGACCCACAGAACUGGGGGAUGAACUUCAACCUCACAUUCACCACCUUCCAAACCACCCUCAGGGAAGACUCACCCGAUGUCUGGUGAGCAUGUUUCCCUUCAGACACUGAUAGCGAACCAUGAGGAAGAGGGCAGCCCAGGUCAGCACAAGGGAGAGGAGGAAGGCAAUGAAGAACCCUGCUGCGUGGAGGCCGUGGUGCGGCAGAACCUGUGGAGACAAGAGGAGAGCAGGAUUCAUGUGUGGUCAGACAGCAUGUCUCCCAGGCCUCACAGAUGAUUGAGUGUCAGAGCAGACCAAGCAGGGACCAGGGGACUCGCUUGCAUUUGAGUCUCGCUCUGCCAGCUACCAGCUGGCUGCCUGGAGGCCCUCGCUGGUCCUCUCUGAGCCUGAACUUCCUCAGUGCAUGACAAGCCUGUCAAAGACCUGAGGCAUGGUGAUUUGCACACAAUAGCACCAUCCAGCCGCACGCCUAGCACAUCACAGACACUCAAGAAUGUUAAGUUUCCAAAUCAAAAACAUGAUAAUCCAAAGGAAGCACUAGGGAUCCGUGACAUUUUCUGAGAAUCACAGGUAGAAUUUUGCAGAGGCCAGAGGAAGAACCCAUGGCACCCUCACCUUCCCGCUACCCUCUAUUAACUUUAGAUUAAAUAAUUAAACCCCAAUUUUUACGGUAUUAUAUUUAGAGAAAAUCUCUUGUCUUCUGACUGGUGAGAUUAGUGGGCCACAUUUACCCCCGCCCCUCCUUCCCUGCUUCUGCCUUCUAGCAUUUUUUAGGUUUAUAGCAUAUAUAUUUUGUUCUGCAACCAGAAUUCAAUCCUGAUUAUUGUUUAUAGGUUAAUCCCAGCAACUACAAAUUUUAAAAGACAAUAUUAUUAUGAUUAGGCAAAAUUUGCUCACUGCAGAGUAAAGUAAUUGGAUCCAAUCCUGUGACACUAAAUAUCUGCUCCUCAAAGGAGUGUGUUCCUAAUUCAGUCCCUUUUCUCACACUUUAUCAAUUAUUCCAAAUCAGGCUACAUUUUUAGUUUGCUUCAGUGUGAAUUAGCACUUCCUUGUGUGACUUUUUGUUUUUCCUGAAGUUUUUCAUGGCCUAUCUUUUUUCUUCCUAGCAUACACCCAUGUUCUUAAUAAUACUAUCUGUUACAGAGAGUCAAAUUUACUUUUUCUUAAAGUCAUCAUUCCCAGAGUUCUCUGACUUUCUGAUUUAAUCAGACCUGGCUACUUUCUAGGUUUUCUGGUAUCAUAGAGAGCUUUUUCUUUUUCUCCACUGCCUUCUAUAUUGUCACAGCAUUACUCAUUGAAGAAAAACUGUUUCUUGGAUCCCAUUUCUUCCUUUUUCUUGGAUAAUUCUUUUUUAUUUUGAUGAAGUAUCCUAAGUAUCUAUUUAUUCUCAAGUAAGUUCGUUUGGAGAAGAUGCUCUUUUCUCACAUCUGGCAAUGCUGUCACUUAGUUCUCAGUUUGACUGAUAGUAUGGCUGGCUACAUAAUUCAUGGCUAAAAUAACUUUCCCUCAAGAUGUUGAUGGUGCCAUUCUACUGUCUUCUGACAGAAGUGUGCCUGAUGGCCUUUUAGAAGAAUCUGUUUUUGUUUUCUGGGUGCUUUUUAAGAUUUCUCCCUUUUCCCUAUAGUUCUGAAUAUCUUAGCAUUUUAAAGAAGAUAUUUGAAUACAUUUCUAAUAAUAUAUAAAAAGUCUUAUAUAGUAAUGUAACUUUGCAAAGAAAUACACACAGUAUAAUCUCCAUUUCACGGGGUCACUGAUUGUACCAAGGGUCCCCAAGGCCACCUGCAUACAAUCCCACUCACAGGUAUGGUUUAUUACAGCAAAAAGACACAAAGCAAAGUCAGAAAAGGGAAGAAUGGAGUAAAGCCCAAGGAAAACCAGGCACAUGCUUCCAGACUCCAGCGGAGUCACAAAAGAUGUGCUUAAUUCCCCCAGAGAGGGGUUGUGACAACUCAUGUGAAAUGUAUUCUACUAGGGAAGCUCAUUAGGGACUCAGUGUCCAGGGUUUUUAUUCGAGGCUGAUCACAUAGGCACCCUGUGCCUGGCAUGUACCAAAAUUUCAUACUCCAAGAAAAACAGCAGGUAAUCAGCAUAAACUAUACUACAUGUAAAAAACAGUUCAGGCACAGGGAGCCACUCUUAGCAGUUUUAAGAAGAUGGGAAUCCUGAAAUCCAAGUUUCCAGACACCAGCCCAGGAUCAAUCUUGUAAGCAAGCUUUUCUAAGGAUAGCAGCCUUCGGUUUGAUAUGCUAACUCUUCUCUGCACAAUGGAAAGCAUAUUAUACCCCAAACUCUGCAUCAGCAUCUGUCUCCAGAAAAGCCAACCUGUGACAAUUAGUUUAAUUCAAAAUGGCUCCAGACCAUGGGAUACCGAAUGUAUUAUUUAGGAGCUAGAAGACAACUAGCCUAUUCCUCAUUCUUGCAGCCACAGUGCAGAUUGUAGUCAAGGUUACAUUUUUUCUGACAGACCAAUGAGGCCACCCUGACCUUCUAGACUGUCAAAGCUAAGUUAGGUCAAAAACAGGAGCUUCAGUUCAAAUGCUUAUUGAAACCUGAAUCAAAGUGUGAUGCCACUUAUAACUCAUCUUUGAUAAAUCAGCCUCUGUCCACAAAGGCUGUUAUCAGAGACUGUCAGAGAACCAAUUCUGUUUUCUUGCUCUAACAUCCUCUUGAUCCUAAAUCUUGAAUUUUGAUUAACACUAAAAUGAAAUCCAAGUACUCCAUUUGUUCUGGACAUGUCCCUCUGCUCCCUGAGCCCUGAGUGUGUACCUACUAGACAAGAAAAAAAUCGAUAAGCUGAAUAAACGUAAAUAGCAUUGCAUGGAGGUUAUGUCAAAAUAUUGAUGGAAAGGAAACUAAAAAAAAUCUGUCUGUAAAACAACACAGUAGCUAAAGAUCAGCAAUCUGUUUUCAAGAUUUUUAAUCCCCUUUAUCUUCAAAGAAGGCAACAACUUGUUUUUUCAUCUUCGAGAAGAGGGAAUGAGAGGUAAAGGGGAUUAACAAUUUUGAUCACCAACAAAACGCCAAUCUCUGGGCUAGGUAAAUGUAGUGAGUUGAGUUGAGUUGUGCCCUCCAAAAAGACAUGUUGAAGUCCUAACCCCAAUACCUAUGAAUGUGACUUUAUUUAGAAAUUGUCUUUGCAGAUGUAGACAAGUUAAGAUGAGGUCAUACUGGGUCACAGUGAGUCCUAAAUCCAAUGAUCGUGUCUUCAUGAGGAGAGGGAGAUUUGUAGACACACACAGAAAAGAUGGCCAUGUGAAGAUGGAGGCAGAUACUGAGUGAUGCAGCUAUAAGCCAAGGAUUUCAAGGAAUGCUAAGGAUUUCUGAGCCACCAGAAGCUAAGAAGAGGCAAAGGAAGAUGCUUCUCCAGGGUCUUUAUAAACAGCAUGGCCCUGCCUGCCUACACCUUAAUUUCAGACUUCCAGCCUGCAGAACUGUGAGAAAAUUAAAUUGUUGUAUUAAGGUACCAAGCUUGUGGAGAUUUGUUAUGGCAGCCUGAGGACACUAACACAAUGCUUCAUAUACUUUAUUUCAUUCAAUCUUCUGUAAUCCUGUGGAACACGUAUCAUCCCUGUUCUACUGAUAGACAAAUGGAGAUGCAAAGAGAUUAAAAAAUUAAUUGAUGUCCACAGCUAAAACAAAAUUAGCUCUGCUGGACUCCAAUGUCUACGUUUGUCCCACUAGAGCUGGACACUACUUACUGUCCAGGGGGCUGUAUGUUUUUCUAAAAUGUUUUUAGUCCUAAUCUCCCACACCAUGGUAGAAGUUAGUUGUAUGACUGACAUUACAUAUGGGCAGCAUCACUCUACCGUAAAAGCCAGGAAAAGAACUCUCUCGUAUGUUCCUUCUCCCCUUCUGUCUCCCUGCCUCCCUCCCUCCUGCUUCAUGAAGUGGAAGUGGACAGGUGAGUCAGGCUACCUCAAAUCUCUUCCUCUUUCCACUUCCACCUUCUAAAUCCACAUCUUGAGAUCUUACUUUCCUUUGGCCACAAGGGCAUUGCCAAGAGAAACUGAAGAGUAGAGGUACUGUGGGCAGUUUAGUGGAGCAGGGUCUAGAUCAAUGCUUAAAGUAGCAACACAGUUGUGGGAAUGGAAGCCUGGACCUAGGAAGAGGGAAAAACCAGGGCCAGUUCUGCAGAUCCCAUCACCUGUCACC
rnacentral:lncRNA from 1 species